GUGAUACCCUACUCGCAAUGACUUAGUGUCCUGAAAGUUCCAGGCUCAUCUAUGCCUUCAUUCCUCUGCUAAAGCAGCUCCACGCAUGGACAGAAAAAAAAACCACACAAAACUCUGCUGAGAAGAAAAGGCUCCUCUGAUCCUCACAAUAGUUUCAGAUUUAAUCACCCACCAUUCAGGAAUUGGGAUACUUGGAAACUAAGGAAAUCCAUUAUUCUAUGG